GGUGGCUGAAGUCCAAAGCUGCAAGAUGCAGGCACACAGUUUGUUGUGAUGGGGAGUGGGGCUGCUGCCCAGCCUCAUCCCCAAUGGGCACAGCUGUGAAAAGCAGCAGCACUGUGUGUAUGGACACACAGAAGACAUUUUGAAGGGAAAAGAAAACAGUCAGGAAUGAAGUUCAGUUAUUUAUGAUGAGCAGAUGGAUUUAGAAAGUCUGCCUGCUGAAACAGAGGCAUGACUCUGCAAAUCAGGUUAUACUGAUACCUCCAUUUUCUGAGGCUCCAUAGAUAUGAUUUAUUCAUGCUAAGCUUUCUUGGACCUCAGUAAGAAUUUUUCCCAACUCUCCCCAGCCCUCUGCUGCUCUAGACUCAAAUGCUUUCUCUGCUGUGCCGUGAAGAGCAGAUGAAUUAAAGCUACGUCAGACCUUUUUGCUCAUGGUAGCCUGGGAAAGUCCUGCCUGCCAAUGGUUUUAUCUACUGACGUCUAUCUGUGGCCUUUGGAACUUACGCGGUGAAAAAAUGA